rnacentral:rRNA from 1 species
UUGAUCAUGGCUCAGGACGAACGCUGGCGGCGCGCCUAACACAUGCAAGUCGAACGGGAUCCAUGCCAGGAAGUCUUCGGAUGGAAUGGUGUGGUGAGAGUGGCGGACGGGCGAGUAACGCGUGAGCAACCAACCCCGUACUGGGGGAUAACGUCGGGAAACCGGCGCUAAUACCGCAUAAGAUUACGGCGCCGCAUGGUGCAGUAAUUAAAGCUCCGGCGGUACGGGACGGGCUCGCGUCCGAUUAGCUAGUUGGUGAGGUAACGGCUCACCAAGGCGACGAUCGGUAGCCGGACUGAGAGGUUGGCCGGCCGCAUUGGGACUGAGACACGGCCCAGACUCCUACGGGAGGCAGCAGUGGGGAAUAUUGGGCAAUGGGGGGAACCCUGACCCAGCAACGCCGCGUGGAGGAAGAAGGUUUUCGGAUCGUAAACUCCUGUCCUCAGGGAAGAGCAAGAGACGGUACCUGAGGAGGAAGCCCCGGCUAACUACGUGCCAGCAGCCGCGGUAAUACGUAGGGGGCAAGCGUUGUCCGGAAUGAUUGGGCGUAAAGGGCGCGUAGGCGGCCCGGUAAGUCUGAAGUGAAAGUCCUGCCUUCAAGGUGGGAAUUGCUUUGGAUACUGUCGGGCUUGAGUGCAGGAGAGGUCAUUGGAAUUCCCAGUGUAGCGGUGAAAUGCGUAGAGAUUGGGAGGAACACCAGUGGCGAAGGCGAGUGACUGGACUGUAACUGACGCUGAGGCGCGAAAGUGUGGGGAGCAAACAGGAUUAGAUACCCUGGUAGUCCACACUGUAAACGUUAGUACUAAGUGUCGGGGGGUUAACUCUCGGUGCUGAAGUAAACACAUUAAGUACUCCGCCUGGG